UACAGAGGGUGCGAGCGUUGUUCGGAAUUAUUGGGCGUAAAGGGCGCGUAGGCGGUUGGGUAAGUCACCUGUGAAAUCUCCUGGCUCAACUGGGAGCUUGCAGGCGAAACUGCUUGACUGGAGUAUGGGAGAGGUGCGUGGAAUUCCCGGUGUAGCGGUGAAAUGCGUAGAUAUCGUAAGGAAGACCAGUGGCGAAGGCGGGUCUCUGGACAGUUCCUGACGCUGAGACACGAAGGCCAGGGGAGCAAACGGG
rnacentral:rRNA from 1 species